AGAGCAGAAUUUAUAAACAGCAUUUUGUUCCUUGUAUACCUCUCAAAAGACAUCUUCAUAAGGACAGGUAAGAC
ensembl:misc_RNA